rnacentral:lncRNA from 1 species
AACUGGGAGUAAAUAAUCUUUCAGUGUCAGAAAGAUGAGUGAUGGAGUGUGGGCACAUGUUCAGUUGCAAUAUAAAUAUCAGGCCACUGGCCAACCUACUGGUUAAGUGCCAUUUGCCCCUAGUCAGGUCAUUUGUCAAAAAAAGUUUGUUUAGGGCCACGGAUUCUGAUUAGCUGCAGGUUGCUCCUUAAUAAUCAAACACACACCAAUUGUUUAUGGCAAAAAUAAAUAAAAGAAAAAUCAAAUGGGCAUGCAAUUUCCUUGGCCAGG